rnacentral:piRNA from 1 species
UAGUGAGACUGUUCUGAAAAA